UCCCAGUGAACAUUCAACGCUGUCGGUGAGUUUGUGACUUAGAGAAACCAUCGAGUGUUGAGUGUACCCUGUCU
rnacentral:pre_miRNA from 1 species